rnacentral:rRNA from 1 species
ACUCCUACGGGAGGCAGCAGUAGGGAAUCUUCCACAAUGGACGAAAGUCUGAUGGAGCAACGCCGCGUGAGUGAAGAAGGGUUUCGGCUCGUAAAAACUCUGUUGUUAAAAGAAGAACAUAUCUGAGAGUAACUGUUCAGGUAUUGACGGUAUUUAACCAGAAAGCCACGGCUAACUACGUGCCAGCAGCCGCGGUAAUACGUAGGUGGCAAGCGUUGUCCGGAUUUAUUGGGGCGUAAAGCGAGCGCGGGGCGGUUUUUUAAGUCUGAUGUGAAAGCCUUCGGCUCAACCGAAGUAGUGCAUCGGAAACUGGGAAACUUGAGUGCAGAAGAGGACAGUGGAACUCCAUGUGUAGCGGUGAAAUGCGUAGAUAUAUGGAAGAACACCAGUGGCGAAGGCGGCUGUCUGGUCUGUAACUGACGCUGAGGCUCGAAAGUAUGGGUAGCAAACAGGAUUAGAUACCCUGGUAGGAUAGCG